GACGAGGGGUCCAAGCGUUGUUCGGAAUCAUUGGGCGUAAAGCGGGUGUAGGUGGCUUUGUAAGUCAGGAGUGAAAUCCCCCGAGCUUAACUUGGGAAGUGCUUUUGAAACUGCAGAGCUUGAAUGUGGGAGAGGAUCGUGGAAUUCCAGGUGUAGUGGUGAAAUACGUAGAUAUCUGGAGGAACACCGGUGGCGAAGGCGGCGAAUCUGGCCCCAACAUUGACACUGAGACCCGAAAGCGUGGGGAAUCAAAACAGG
rnacentral:rRNA from 1 species